rnacentral:rRNA from 1 species
AUUGAACGCUGGCGGCAUGCCUUACACAUGCAAGUCGAACGGUAACGCGGGGGCAACCCUGGCGACGAGUGGCGAACGGGUGAGUAAUGCAUCGGAACGUGCCCAGUAGUGGGGGAUAGCUCGGCGAAAGCCGGAUUAAUACCGCAUACGACCUACGGGUGAAAGCGGGGGACCGAAAGGCCUCGCGCUAUUGGAGCGGCCGAUGUCGGAUUAGGUAGUUGGUGGGGUAAAGGCUCACCAAGCCAACGAUCUGUAGCUGGUCUGAGAGGACGACCAGCCACACUGGAACUGAGACACGGUCCAGACUCCUACGGGAGGCAG